rnacentral:misc_RNA from 1 species
AAGUCGUAACAAGGUUUCCGUAGGUGAACCUGCGGAAGGAUCAUUACCUUUCAAUGCAGCAGAAUUGGGAUGGUUGAGUAUCUCGCCUCUCCGUUCUGCCUGUAUUCUACCCUUGUUUGUCAUAUACUAUUAUUUCCUCGGCAGGCUUGCCUGCCGAGUGAAACCAUUUAUAACCUUUUUAAUUUUCAAUCAGCGUCUGAAAAAAAAUUAAUAAUUACAACUUUCAACAACGGAUCUCUUGGUUCUG